UACGGGGGGAGCAAGCGUUGUUCGGAUUUACUGGGCGUAAAGGGCGCGUAGGCGGCCUCCGCAAGUCAGUUGUGAAAUCUCCGAGCUUAACUCGGAAAGGUCAACUGAUACUGCGGGGCUAGAGUGCGGAAGGGGCAACUGGAAUUCCUGGUGUAGCGGUGGAAUGCGCAGAUAUCAGGAGGAACACCAAUAGCGAAGGCAGCUCGCUGGGACGGUACUGACGCUAAGGUGCGAAAGCGUGGGGAGCGAACAGG
rnacentral:rRNA from 1 species